AUUGAACGCUGGCGGCAAGCCUAACACAUGCAAGUCGAACGAGUGGCGGACGGGUGAGUAAUGUCUGGGAAACUGCCUGAUGGAGGGGGAUAACUACUGGAAACGGUAGCUAAUACCGCAUACCAUCGGAUGUGCCCAGAUGGGAUUAGCUAGUGGGUGGGGUAAAGGCUCACCAAGACGACGAUUACUAGCUGGUCUGAUAGGAUUACCAGCCACACUGGAACUGCGACGCGGUACACAAGACGACAGGAGGCAGAAGUGGGUAAGAUUGAACAAUGGGCGCAAGCCUGAUGCAGCCAUGCCGCGUGGAUGAAGAAGGCAUUCGGGUUGUAAAGUACUUUCAGCGGGGAGGCGUGACGCGCAGAAGAAGCUCCGGCUAACUCCGUGCCAGCAGCCGCGGUAAUUC
rnacentral:rRNA from 1 species